GCAUCUAUGGCCGAGUGGUCUAAGGCGUUGGACUUAAGAUCCACUGUCCGUUUUAGGGCGCGUGGGUUCAAAUCCCACUGGAUGCA